CCGGAACUCGUGCUGGCCCGCAAGCGCCGCACGCAGCCCCGGUUCCCACCCGCGCCUCUACCUCCACACAUCCCGGCAAGCUGAGGGAGCCGGCUCCGUCCUUGGCCAGCCCACAAAGGGGCUCCCACAGUGCAGCGGCGGGCUGAAGGGCUGCCAAAGUGGGAGCCCAGGCAGAGGAGGCGCCGAGAGCGAGCGAGGGCUGCGAGGACUGCCAGCAUGCUGUCACCUGUCACGGGCUGUGCAGGAAGCAUGAUGCUGGCAUCUUCUCAGCUUCUGGUGAAGCCUCAGGAAGCUUCUACUCAUGCCAGAAGGCAAAGCAGGAGCAGCAGGUCACAUGGCAAGUGACUGGAAGGCAGCUGUAUUUAAAUUUCUAUAAAGAUCAGAUCCUCUAUGGACAUCUUUUACUGAGUAACAAAUCUGAAGAAAACAUGGUGAUAAGAAGAAAGAUGCUCCUCCCGCCCCACACAUGCCCAGAUAUCCAGGUCUUAAUUUUCAAAAUUUUUGAGUAUGUUACAUUACAAGGCAAAAAUUAUUAAAGUUAAGAUUAAUUUUUCAAUCUUAAUUAAUAAUAGGAAAAUUACUCUGGAUUAUCUGGUUCGACCCAAUGUAACUAUAUAAGCCCUUAAAAGUGGAAGAGGAUGCAGGGUGAUUGAGUCAGAGGGAUGUAGCAAUAGGGGAAGAGACAGGGGAGAUGUGUAGCAUGAGAUGGGCUUUACUUGCCAUGGCUGGCUUUGAAGUUGGAGGAAGGAGGGCAUGAGCCCAUGAAUUUGGGUGGCCUCUAAAACUUGAGAAUGAUCCUUAGCUUACAGCAAGCAAGGAAGUGGGAACCCCAGUUCCACAGUAACAAGGAAUUGAAUUCUGAACAACAACCUGAAUGAGCAGGGAAACACAUCCUCUCUUGGAACCUCCUGAGAAGAAACAGCCCUAUGGACACUUUGCCUUUAGCCAGAUGAGACCCAUGUCAGAAUUCUGACCUCUGAACUCUACAACAGCACAUUUGUGUGUGUGUUUUAUUUUUUUAACUACAAAGUGUGUGGUAAUUUGUUCCAGCAAUGAUAGAAAGUUAAUACAAACAGUCUGUUAAAUACUUGAUUUUAUGUCUGAGAAAUCUGAGCCUACAGAGAUUCAAUGGCUUACCCUAGCCAGGUAGUGACAGGGUUUCCAAAUUCUUGAUCUCUUCCCAAGAGUGCUUUCUUGUUUUGAAUCAUCCAAUCCAUUCUAAUCUAAGCAGUCUGGAUACAGUCAAGCCAGAUCAAAUCAUAUGCCUCUGUGCCUAUAAUUCAGGCAUGACUCCUUUCGUGCUUUAAAAUUCUCAUUCUAGUUUGGCGUCCGCACCUUCUCUUACUUCACCCAAUACCCAUCUCACCGCACUCCUUGCAGCAUGGUGCUGCUCCAUUUCAGGGUCAUGCCUUCUGCUCACCUUAUGGUAAUGCUUUCCUCUUGCUUGUCCUGAGGACAUAAGAGCUAUCACUCUCCAAGUUCUCAGCAUGGCUGCUGAAUUCUCAUAAUUCAAGUAUCAGUUUAAAUAUCAGUUCCAUAGAGAAACUGUCUAGACUUAGAUUCCUUAAAUCACCACUCAUCUCUGUCAUUUCAAGCUUUUCAAUCUAUGUUUGUUUCUCCUCUCCUUUAUUAUCUUCUUCUUCCUCUAGCAUCUGAUAACUAUGGUAUGGAGACUUUAUCUCAUAUGAAUCAGUAACAUUGGUAUAUAAGUGUCUGAUAAAAAUAUCUACUGUGAAAAUAUCUAGUAAAAUAAUUUCUGGCUCCUAGUUCAAGGCUGUUAGCUACUGAACUUUGCCAGUUACAUUAAUUGUGACUGGCAUUCACACCCCACAUUAUAAUGCCUGUUAUUAUUAAAGGAAUCUACUUGUGUUCAUUUAUUGACUUUAUAUUAAGUAAAAGUAAUAAAUAUAAACUUAUAAAAUGUACUGACACAAAGUACCAUUUUUAUCUGUUUCAAGUGUUAGAAAUUGACACACUUAUUUUUAUCAUUUUUAGCUCCUGCUAGAAUAAAACACGGUAUUUGUGGCUAUAAAUAUAGGAUAACUUACUAAAAGAAACAUGUUAGUAACAUUAUUCUGGCAUAUUCCAAAAUAUUCAGUGAAUAAGUAAAAGCUCAAAGACGAGCUGUCCAGACUGUACUAUGUUUAUUUAGACAGAAGUAAAAUACUGCCCAGGUCCAGAGAGAUCAAUGGGAAAGAAAAGAAGGAUGAUGGACCUUUAGUCAAAAGGGGAGAAGAACUACGGGUACAGAUUAUAAUAGGAUUCAUUACAGGUUAUAACAUCAGUGAAGAAGGGCAGUGACUCAGUUGUGUACAUGAAAAUAAAAUAAAUUGCUUGAUUAAUUCACAGUAGUUAUACAAAACUGACUUAUAUGAAGUAUUUAUGCUUUAGAAAGCUUCCUAUUACAAAUAUUCAAGUGAAUAAAAAUGAACUAAUGUAUCUCUAAAGUAAUUAUUGGGGAACUCAGACAAUUAUCUAAUUAUCUUGAAACAAAUUUGUUGAAUGUUUGAAAUUAUUAUAGUUUAAGUUGCAAAUUGCUCAGAAGUCUGUUAUUUUUAUUACUAUUACUGAGAUAUAACUUUAAACAAUGUUUUUUUUCUAAAAAGAGAGGGUAAUGUUACUGUGUUUCACUAGUUCCAUUGUAAAUAAAUGUUACUUUUUGACUAUCUCUUGCUUUAAAAGAUUCAUUUCUUUAAAAUUUUACAUCUAUAAUUUUACAACAAUUUUGUCUACUUGAAUAUUUCUAAUACUUAUGAUAAACAUUGUUUAGGUUAUUCAUAUAUAUCUUCAUAUCAUUCAUUCAAU
rnacentral:lncRNA from 10 species